CAGCCGCCGCGGGAAUACGAAGGGUGCAAGCGUUACUCGGAAUUACUGGGCGUAAAGAGCUCGUAGGCGGUUUGUCGCGUCUGCCGUGAAAGUCCGGGGCUCAACCCCGGAUCUGCGGUGGGUACGGGCAGACUAGAGUGAUGUAGGGGAGACUGGAAUUCCUGGUGUAGCGGUGAAAUGCGCAGAUAUCAGGAGGAACACCGAUGGCGAAGGCAGGUCUCUGGGCAUUAACUGACGCUGAGGAGCGAAAGCAUGGGGAGCGAACAGGAUUAGAUACCCCUGUAGUCCCUGUCUCUUAUAC
rnacentral:rRNA from 1 species